rnacentral:rRNA from 1 species
UACGUAGGUGGCAAGCGUUGUCCGGAAUUAUUGGGCGUAAAGCGCGCGCAGGCGGUUCCUUAAGUCUGAUGUGAAAGCCCACGGCUCAACCGUGGAGGGUCAUUGGAGACUGGGGAACUUGAGUGCAGGAGAGAAGAGUGGAAUUCCACGUGUAGCGGUGAUAUGCGUAGAGAUGUGGAGGAACACCAGUGGCGAAGGCGACUCUUUGGCCUGUAACUGACGCUGAGGCGCGAAAGCGUGGGGAGCAAAC